rnacentral:rRNA from 1 species
AGGACGAACGCUGGCGGCGUGCUUAACACAUGCAAGUCGAGCGGAAAGGCCCUUCGGGGUACUCGAGCGGCGAACGGGUGAGUAACACGUGAGUAACCUGCCCCUAGCUCUGGGAUAGCUCCGGGAAACCGGGAUUAAAUACCAGAUACGACCACUUUAGACAUCUGUCGUGGUGGAAAGGAUUCCGGCUAGGGAUGGGCUCGCGGCCUAUCAGCUUGUGGUGGGGUAACGCCUACCAAGGCGACGACAGGUA